CAUCCCUAGCGUAUCUGUGAGGUCUAUAGCCGGAACCCCGCCAACCUACUGGAAGAGCAGAUCGAAGGUGCCCGGCGGCGAGUCACUCAGUUACAGCUGAAGAUCCAGCAGGAGACUGGUGGCUCAGUGGACAUACUUCCACUAUAUGGUGACACCAGCCAGAGACCAUCAGAAGGCCGGCUCUCUCUGGAUUCCCAGGAGGGGGACAGUGGCUUGGACUCUGGGACAGAACGCUUUCCUUCCCUCAGUGAGUCAUUGAUGAAUCGGAACUCGGUACUGUCAGACCCUGGGCUAGACAGUCCUCGAACCUCCCCUGUGAUCAUGGCCAGGGUGGCCCAGCACCACAGGCGGCAGGGCUCGGAUGCAGCAGUCCCCUCAACCGGUGACCAGGUGAGUGAUCUGGAGCCACCCUGCAGUUUUCCUUUUCUCAGAAGUGAGAUUUGGAGGCAUGGGUGUUACCAAUACA
rnacentral:sRNA from 1 species